rnacentral:rRNA from 1 species
UACGUAGGGCGCGAGCGUUGCUCGGAAUUAUUGGGCGUAAAGGGCUCGUAGGCGGUUUGUCGCGUCGGGAGUGAAAACACCGGGCUUAACUCGGUGCUUGCUUUCGAUACGGGCAGACUAGAGGCAUGCAGGGGAGAACGGAAUUCCUGGUGUAGCGGUGAAAUGCGCAGAUAUCAGGAGGAACACCGGUGGCGAAGGCGGUUCUCUGGGCAUUACCUGACGCUGAGGAGCGAAAGUGUGGGGAGCGAACAGG